GAAAUGGCCGACUAGGGUUCCGGCCCACCCGCACGGGUGGGUGACUGGUCCGAGAGUGGGCGACCUCGGAGCGGCGGGAAGCCGCGGGGUUACACGGCGGGAUAAAAGCCCGGGAGAA
rnacentral:sRNA from 2 species